CCGACCAUGACUAUAAGGGUGUAGUUUAAUUUGUGUUUUGUCACAUUGUGUAUGCUAUUGUGGUUUAUUACUAAGGUGUAGGGAAACACCUAUUUACACCCUUUGUGCAAGCUACAAGAAUAAUCAGAAGCGCUACACAUCUGUCAUUAUUUUACUUCAUACUGUAUUUAGCUACAAGUUGACCUUGGCAGAUGGAUUUGGG